rnacentral:sRNA from 1 species
CCGGAUGCCGCUUUUUGGAUCCGGCGGGACAUAGAGGGCGCCGCUCUCUUUUCCGGCGCAGCUCAUGCCCAAAUUGCUUCUGUUGGAGGAUUUGGAGAUGAGAA